CAGGCACCUCCAUGUUGGACUUCUAGUUUCCAAAGCUGUGAGAAAGUGCAUAUCUGUUGUUUAAAUCAUCCAGCCUAAGAAGGAACAGAAGGCACUUUCCUUCGGAAUGAUCCAAGUUGCUGGUUACGCAUCGUCCUUCUUCCUGCACUUGAAUGUUCUCUAAAAGAACUUUUAAACUCCACGAAAGAUCAAUAUUUGACAAUCUUAGUGAUAUUUUACUGAUACCAAAAAGGAAAACAAAAGCAUUGAGGGGUUACAUAAAAGAGUAACUUCUGUCUUUCCGGCAAGCUCUCCUUUGGUGGCUUUGAUAAAGCUAUAUGGAGAAGUCCGUGCAGGAAGAACUGAGAGCAGCUCUGGCCGAUGUCCAAAAAGCCACUGAGACCCUCAGUCCAACAGUCCACAAGAACUAAAUCCUGCCAACACUCAGAGCUGGUGAGUGGAUCCUUCCCCAACUGAGCCUUUGGAUGAGACCCUGGCUGACACCUUGACUGCAGCCUCGUGAGAUCUUACAGCAAAGAACUCAGCUAAGUCAUGACCAGAUUCUUGAAAACUGAGACAAUAAAUAAAAAAAUAAACUAUGUUGACCUAAGC
rnacentral:lncRNA from 1 species